rnacentral:rRNA from 1 species
CCUACGGGGGGCAGCAGUGGGGAAUAUUGCGCAAUGGGCGAAAGCCUGACGCAGCGACGCCGCGUGAGGGAUGAAGGUCUUCUGAUCGGAAACCUCUGUCAGCAGGGAAGUACGGUCACUGUGCUAAUCAGCAGUGAAUUGACGGUACCUGCAAAGGAAGCACCGGCUAACUCCGUGCCAGCAGCCGCGGUAAUACGGAGGGUGCGAGCGUUAAUCGGAAUUACUGGGCGUAAAGCGCUCGUAGGCGGUAUGUCAAGUCAAGGGUGAAAUCCCCGGGCUCAACGUGGGAACUGCCUUUGAAACUGGCAAACUGGAGUGUGUGAGAGGUAAGUGGAAUUCCAGGUGUAGGAGUGAAAUCCGUAGAUAUCUGGAGGAACAUCAGUGGCGAAGGCGACUAUCUGGCACAUAACUGACGCUGAGGAGCGAAAGCGUGGGUAGCAAACAGGAUUAGAUACCCCAGUAGUC